GAUGCAUAUCCACCUUGUCAUCAUAUUUCUGGUCAUUAUUGAGUAAGCAUCUCUCUUUCCAUCUUUUCUUUUGAAGGAUGAGUAGAUAUUGUGGUUUUCAUAUUUAUUCUUCAAGUAAAGGAAACCUCAAGGGCCUGCGUGGGAAUUUCGGCCUACCGGUUUUAAGCGUUUAUGAGCAGAUCGAUUUUGAGUAAUUUUAGUAAUGGUUUUUAAACUGCCCAACCAUGCAUGAAAGCUUAUUAUCCACUAGUUAUGAAAGUUUUUUAAAAGAAUAAAAUUAUAUAUAUAUCCCUUAGUAAAAUUUUUAGUUUAUAUUUUCUUUUAUUAAAUUUUUUUUUCAUAAUUGAUAUUUUACUUAUUAAGUAAUUUUUUUACAUAUUUAAGUUAAUGUUAAAUAUUUACGUAAGUAAAUUUUACAAUUAUAAGUUAAUUUUAUACUUCUAAAUAAUAUUUUACUUAUAAGUAUUUUUUUUUUAAAAUUAUAAUGUGCUUUUUUUGCUUAUAAAUAAUUUUUUAGUUAACAUAUUUUAUUUACGAGUUAGUUUUGAAGAAAAUAUGUUGGUUGGAAAUAAUUAUUUUAUAGAGGGUAAAAUUAAAGAGAAUAUAAGAAACGGCCAAUACCCGCCGAUUUGGUGGAUUGAGAGAACCGGUCAAAAUUUCACUGUACCAGUUUUGGGUGGUUUUUAAACUAUUAAAAAUCGGUAUCCAGAAAAACUAGCUAGCACCAGUUUUUCCUUCCCCUCAUAAACGGUGUUGACCAAAAAUCGGCCAAAACUGAUGAAAAUUUAACUUCCAAGCAGGCCCUAAGCUGAAAAUUGGCCAAGAAUUUCAAGGACCGAAAUUUGUUGAAGUGGAAAAAGCUUGUGCUGGACUGAAGGGUAGUCUUCAAUACCCGUUUUAUGUUGCCAUGUUGAAAGACUGAUGUUCUGGCUGUCUGUUGAUUAUUCAUUCUUCUCAGUAUGUUCUGUUAAUUUUCCUUGGGUGCAGUACUUGCGUCUGUGGGUGAGUAUGGAUUAUACAAUAUGUAUAUAUUUUAUUUAUUGUUCAUGACUUGGAGAAAUUGGUAAUCUUCAGAUAAGUCUGCGUGAGUAUCCUCAAGGCAUUGGCAAAGCUUGAUAACAAACGGGUUGCCUGUAUGCCAACUCUUUGGCAUUGUUACAAGCAAAAUUUAUUCGUAUUUAGGUCACUUGCCACUUUGAAGGAAAAAUUGCAUAAUCGGUCCCCGACCUAUUACAUAAGUAGCAUUUUUGGUUCCCAACAUAUAGAAAGGAGCAAGUGGAUCCUUACUUGUGUGAAGAACUGAAGUAUUAUUCUUCUUCAUAAUCAUAAUAAUAAUACACUAUAGUUGCAUUCACUAUAGUUGCAUAAUCUGUCCAUAAUGAUGAGAACAAAUGAAUUUCCAUUAAAUCGUCACAAUUGUUACAGAAACAUGCCUCACAUCAAAUUUCUGCACACCAACCUAAGUUGUGAUACAAAACCAAGCUUCAAAACGUUAGACAUGUGAGGCCCAUGUGAAGAUUUCAUGGAGAUUUGGAUGGUUUUCAACAAUGGGACAGAUUGUGCGACUUCAAUGAACUGUUGAGGACCAACUUGUACCUGUUUGGGAUCAAUAGUGCAAUAUUUUCCACUGAGAACAGAAAUUGUAGUUUGCGUCCUCUUUUGCUUCUGUAUCACGUCCCUGUGAUUUGACAUGCAUUUGCUGCUUCUGUCACCUGUUCUUUUGUUCCCCCUUUUUCAUAGUUGGAAAGCACUGAAUACUUUCACCUAGAAGUUAUUAACAAAUAGCAUUUUAUGGUGAACACACUCUUAUGUGAAACAAUAGCACUUUGGGAUGUCAGAAAAUUUUAAUAUGGAUAUUUGAAUGCUUUCUCAAUGUGCUUUGUUUCACUUGAGUGAAUGAUUUUGGAUCUUGUUCAAAGUAUCCUUUCUUUGCAGUCAGAAUGCUUGAUGAGGUUUUAAGGACAUGUUAUUUCUUUACUUGUGUGAAGAACUGAAGUAUUAUUCUUCUUCAUAAUCAUAAUAAUAAUGCUGUACAAUCAUUGAAUUUAUAUACUUACAGAGAACAAAUAAAAUAGGAAACUAUCCUAAAUUAAAUCCCCUUAAUUAAGGGAUUGUGAUAUUCCUUUAAUUAAGGGAUUAUGAUAUCUCCUAAAUUACGAGAUUGUAUACCAUUAAUACAAUGAUUCCCUGAUUUCCUUAUUGGGCAGAUUUUCCCACACUCCUCAAGCUGGUGAAUGAAUGUUAUCCAUUCCAAGCUUGCUAAUCAUCUUUUGAAACAUCAUACCAGUUAGUCCCUUGGUGAGCACAUUCGCAACUUGUCCAUCUGUAGAAACAAAAGGAGUAUAAAUCAGACCACUAUCUAGUUUUUCCUUUAUGAAGUGUCUGUCAACUUCAAUGUGUUUGGUGCGAUCAUGUUGUACAGGGUUAUGUGCUAUGUUGAUGGCUGACUUGUUGUCGCAAUAGAGUUUCAUUGGUUUUUCCCAUUCUACCUUUAAAUAUGCUAGAAUGAUCUUGAGCCACAAUAUUUCACAAAUCCCUAAAGCCAUUGCUCUAAAUUCUGCCUCUACAUUAGACUUUGCUACAACAUUCUGCUUCUUGUUUCUCCACGUCACAAGAUUUUCGGCAAGAAAGGUGCAAUAACCUAGUGUUGAUCUUCGGUCAACUGGUGACCCUGCAUAGUCAGAAUCUGUGUAGGCUUCAAGAUUCAAUUUUUCUCCUUUCUUAAAAAGAAUUCCUUUUCCCGAAGUUCCCUUAAUGUACUGUAAGAUUCUAUUGACCGCUUGAAGGUGUACCUUUUUUGGAUUGUGCAUAAAUUGACUUACAACACUAACUACAUAGGCAAUGUCAGGUCUGGUGUGUGACAGGUAGAUAAGUUUCCCUACCAAUCUUUGAUAAUCACUUUUCUCAAUUAGGGCAUCCUCAGGAGCUUCUCCGAGUUUGUGAUUGAAUUCUAUUGGAGUCUCAACAGGCUUACACCCUAGCUUUCCUGUUUCCUUCAGCAAAUUCAUCACAUGUUUCUGUUGUGAAAUAAAGAUCCCAUGCUGUGAGUGAGCAACUUCAAUCCCAAGAAAGUAUUUCAACCUACCUAGCUCUUUUAUUUCAAACACCUCCUUAAAGCUUCUUUCCCUUUCAUGUCAUUUUUAGUUACCACAAUGUCAUCGACAUAUACUAACAAGGUAGUUACUUCCCCUGACACUGAGUACUUGACAAAUAGAGUAUGAUCUCCUUGGCUUUGUUUAUACCCUAUUGCUAACAUAACUUUAGUGAAUCGCCUAAACCAAGCUCGAGGGGAUUGUUUUAGACCACAUAGGGCUUUCUUUAGUCUGCACACCUUUUUUCCUUGUAGAUUUGAACCAAAGCCAGGAGGAAUUUUCAUGUAGAUUUCUUCAUCAAGAUCUCUAUGUAGAAAUGCAUUCUUGACAUCAUAUUGUUGUAGACUCCACCCAAGGUUAGCUGCUAAGGAUAACAAUAUUCUUACCAUAUUUAUUUUUGCAAUAGGAGCAAAAGCUUCUAGAUAAUUAACUCCAUAAGUUUGAGUAUAUCCCUUAGCUACCAACCUGGCUUUAUAUCUCUCAAGCGAUCCAUCUGCUUUAUACUUAAUAGUGAACACCCAUUUACAUCCUAUUGGUCUCUUUCCUUUGGGUUGUUCCACUAAUUCCUAAGUGUUAUUUUUCUCAAGACCUUCCAUUUCAACUCUCAUAGCAUCUCUCCAUUCCUUAUGACCUAAGGCCUCAAGCAUAGUUUUGGGAAUGAUUAUAGUGUUUAGAUGUGUAAGAAAGGUUUUAUGAUUACGUGAUAAUUUCUCAUAUGACACAAAGUGAGAUAAUGGAUAUAGUGAAUUUUGGGUGCAUUUUCUUGUGCCUUUCCUAAGAGCAAUGGGAAGAUUAUCACUAGCAUCAUGAGAGUUAGAAGUAAUUACCUCAUUCGCAGGAGUAGGUUCAGAAUCUUGAAUUUGCAUAGGUUGAACGAUGGGUACCUUCUUCCUUGAAUAAACCAACAAUGGGCAAGUAGAAAUUUGAACCUGAUUAUCUUUUUCCAAAGUUUGUGUUUCUGAUGUAGGAGUACAAGGUGACUCGGAUUUAGUAGAAAUAGGGGCUGAAACAGAGUUUGGAUUUCUAGAUCUUUGAGGGAUUGGAGGAGAAUAUGAAGGAAUAGGAGAAUCAAGUUCUUGUAAAAAUAAGUCAUUGUCCUUAUCUUCCAUAGAUGUUCUCUCUCCCUGAAGAUAAGGUUGGGGAAAAUAACUAUCUCUUUCAACAAAUGUUACAUUGGCUGACACAUAGAAGUUUCGAGUUGGAGGAUGAUAACACUUGUGUCCUUUUUGAGUAGAUGAGUAUCCUAUAAAAAUACACUUAAGUGCUCAUGGAUCUAACUUUCCCCUGUUAUGAGAGUGUAUAUGGACAGAAGAUACACAGCCAAAGGUUUUUGGGACAAGAUUGUUUGUGGUAUUGAAGUUGUAAAAAUGCUUGGUCAGAACUUGCAUGGGACUUUUGAAACCAAGGACACGAGAGGGCAACCUGUUUAUAAGAUGGGCAGCAGUUAGAACACCUUCGUCCCAAUAAUUUUUCGGAAUGUGUUUUUGAAAUAGAAGGGCUCGGGUAGUGGCUAACAAGUGGCCAUUUUUUCUUUCGGCCACCCCAUAUUGUUGGGGGUAUUGAUACAAGAUAACUCAUGUAUUAUUCCCUCCUUCUGGAAAAAAUGUGAUAGAACUUGAUUGAAGGAAUCUUUAGCAUUGUCUGAUCUGAAUUUUUUUAUCUUGACCCCAAAUUGAAUUUUUACCAUACUAUGAAAUGUGGAAAAUACUGAACUUACAUCAGACUUAUUCUUUAGGAGAAAAAUCCAUGACACACGAGUACAAUCAUCAAUAAAUGAAACAAACCAACGAGCUCCAGAUAUAGUAGGAACAUUAGAAGGCCCCCAGAUAUCACUAUGGAUGAGUGAAAAAGGAACUGAUGUUAUUUUAUUGCUUACAGGAAAGGAAGCACGUUUGUGCUUUGCAAUUUCACAAAUAUUACAAUGAAGACGUUUCUCAUCAAUUCCUUUAAAUAACAAUGGGAACAUAACUUUAAGGAUGCUAAAUGAGGGAUGUCCUAGACGAAGAUGAUAAAGCCAAAUUUUGUCUUCAUUUGAAGUUAAAAAUUCAGAAAACAGUGAUAAAGAUAAGCUAUUCUUAGUUUCAUUUUGCCUGCUUGAUUCUUCAAGAUAAUAAAGUCCAUCUUUCUCCCUAGCAAGUCCAAUCAUCUUCCCCGUUACCUGGUCCUGAAAAACACAAUUUGAGGGAAAGAAAGUUACAGUACAAUUUAAAUCUUUUGUGAGCCUUUGUAUGGACAAGAGAUCAGUGGAUAAUUUUGGAACAUGAAGAACAUUAACAAGUUUCAAAUUUUGGUUUAUUAAAAUACUUUCUUGGCCCGUAACUGCGAUUAAUAUGCCAUCUGCUGUGGCUAUUUUCUUAUUGCUAGGACAUGGAUUAUAAGAGGUAAAUUUGUGUGAUGAAUGGGUCAUAUGAUCUGUAGCCCCUGAAUCAAUGACCUAGGAAUCUGGAAAAGAGGUUAUGCUUGAGACACUAAGGACACGGGGGAGAGGAUGCUUACCUGAGAGUGCUAAAGAACAAGCACCUGAAGUAGCAGACUUUCCCAAGGACCCCAACAAAUUCCUCAGUUUUUGUAUCUCACUUUGACUGAAGUCACUUUGCUCUUGUGGCAUGUCCUCCUCCCCAGGUUGUGAGUAAGUCAUAUGAGCCUGCCCUCUUUGUUGUCCAUCCUUCAUGGUCCAAUUUUUGUUUGACAAUUUCGGCUUUCCAUGAAGCUUCCAACAUCGUUCUAUCCUGUGCCGAGGCCUUCUACAGUAUGUACACCUUAAUUCAUCUUUGUUUGUUGCUUAAGACAUGUUCAAUUCCUCAUUCAUGCUCACGGUUGGUUGGUUUGGACUGGGUUUUUUAAAACCAGUCAUUUUUGAGACCAUAGCUGACACUUCGACGGCCUGUGGUUCCACCAUUACUCCCCUCCGUCCUUCUUCUGCUCUGAUUACCGCAAUAGUCUCAUUUAAUGAGGGCAAAUCAUCCUUUCCAAGAAUUUGGACUCUGACUGGAUCAAACACCAUAUUUAGUCCUGCAAGGAAAUCAUAAAUCCUGUCAUUUUCUUCCAGUCUUUUCACCAUGGCUGCAUCAUCACUGCAUUUCAGUUUAAUACAUUGAUAAUGGUCCAUUUCUUGACACAGAUUUUUCAUGAGAUUGGCAUAUUCUGUGAUAGUACGUUCUCCUUGCUUGGUGGCUGAAAUUUUAAUCUUGAUUUCAUAUAUCUGAGCAGCAUCAUGAACCUUGGAAUAGGUUUGUCCAACGGCAUCCCAAAUCUCCUUUGCAGUGGUUAGGAACAUACAUGAAUUGCUGAUCUCCGGUAGCAUUGGGUUCCAUAGCCAUGUCAUCACCAUAGAGUCCGCCUCAUCCCAAGCAUCAAAUCCAGGAUUUCCUGCUAUAGGCCCUGCACCAAGCGACUCAACAUGCCUUUCCUUUUCAAGAACGUUCUAACCAGCUGUGACCAUUUUAGGUAAUUCUUUCCAUUCAAUUUAUAUGCUGCUUGCAGAUUCUGUAACUCUCCUAAAGAUGAAGCAGGUUUUGUUUCCACAGUCUGCGUCUCAGAGGAGUUAGUGCUGUCAAUGAUUUCUGCCAUGGCCAUUGUGAAGAUCAAGAAAGAGCUGUGGUUAAAUCAAGAACGAGAGUGGCCAAAGGAAGAACAAAGAACUUAAGAUUUUCAAAAUGAUUUAGAGAGAACGAAAAAAAAUCAGCAAUAAAGGCUGAACAAAAUACUGGGCAAUGAAGGCCAACAAGUGAAAAAACAGAGGGUAAUUCCCAGAAGCUUAAAGCUCUGAUACCAUGUGAAGAAUUGAAGUAUUAUUCUUCUUCGUAAUCAUAAUAAUAAUGCUAUACAAUCAUUGAAUUUAUAUACUUACAGAGAACAAAUAAAAUAGAAAACUAUCCUAACAUAAAUCCCCUUAAUUAAGGGAUUGUGAUAUUCCUUUAAUUAAGGGAUUGUGAUAUCUCCUAAAUUACGGGAUUGUAUACCAUUAAUACAAUAAUUCCCUGAUUUCCUUAUUGGGCAGAUUUUCCCACUUGCAUAAGAAAAGUUAUUUAUUUUGACAGUGAAGGGUCACUUUCAAAUAAAGUUAUUCAUUUUUAGCUUUGACGUACAACUUAUUUUUUACUAGUAAACUUACUCCUAAGUAAUAAUUUAGCUUAGCCGAAUAUGACCUAAUAGAUUUUACUUAUACACCUUAUAUUGAUUGGAUCAACUGGCUUCUUUUGCUCAUAAUUGUCUUCCUUGAUGAGAAAGUAAUCAUCUGCCACUUUCCCCUUGACUAUUGCUUAUAAUCUCUUCGUUGAUGCCCAUUGUCAUUACCUUAUAUUUAUGAUGGAUAAACUGAAUAUUGCCAAUGCAUGAUUUUGUUGUCUAAUAGAUUACUAUGAGAAAAUAUGACUAUCCAUUUAGUCAAGAAUACGUAUAUCUUGAUUUUGUUCGUUCAUUAGUAUAUUGAAGAUGAAAAAUGAGUUGGUGAAAUUCUUGUGUUCUUUAACCUGUAUUGAUAAUUUGUAAAUGACCUCUUUUUAACUGAAUAGUCUUGCGCAAUUCAUUACUUCUUUUGAUUUAGUGUCAAUUUCUCUUCUUGCAGUGGGUUAAGAAUCCUGUGAUGGCUCAGGAGGUGAUUAAGACUGUUGAUGACAUGUUUGUUUGGAAGUUUUCAGCAUGAUUCUUUUCGUGUAUUCGUUCGAUGAGAAAUGCGAGUCCAAUUUGUCCACUUGCUCCACCCCACCAUCAGAAUGAUGAAGGAUUUUUUCUUCUUCUCGUUGUGUUUGAUCUCUUCAAUAUUUGCCUCACUCGUUGUCACCUAUGUUGAAGAAAGGUUUGGCAUUAGAUGAGGAAGAAUAAUUAGCUAAUAUGUUGAUUAUUAACUCUUUGGUCAUAUUUGGUACUAUGUAUCAAUAUGCAUUCGAAGUCUUCAAAUUUUGCAUGGCCUAAACACACAUAUGAUGACAUGUUUGGUGUGCAAAAUUAGAUUAUGGGCUUGUUUGGACCCGAUUUUUUCCUCCAAAAAAUUGAUUUUUUGAUCGUUAUUUCACUAUUCUAGCCAUCAUAUUUGACUUCUUCUCUCACGGGUGGACCCCACUUUUCUUCUAACGGUCAAAAAAUCAAUUCUCAAAAUCACUCCCAAACAGCCUCUAUAUUGGACAGUAUUGGAUAGUCAUUUUUUUUUUUUGAAGUGUCAAAUAGUGUUCAAUUUGUGUCAGGAACAUGUCAUAAGUGGUUUGGUUAGGCGCGACAUUGUAACUAAACUAUUAAAUAUCUUUGA
rnacentral:lncRNA from 1 species